CGGAGUCUCCAACUUGCUGGUUGAUUUAUUGAGCGCAGUGAUCCUCCUCCGCUUUCACCUUCUCGGACUCCAAGCUCUAUUUUGGGGCCAGUACCAGGGUACACGGCACCUGUUUCUCCGCAUUUAAGGGAGAGUUUGGGCAUUUUGACAGCAACACCCGUCACCCCCACCCACUCUCCCCAUCCAAAAGAAACUAGCCUUGGCCUUUCCCAUUUUGUACCCUCCUCCACCUCUCAAUCCCCUACCCCCACCCUCGUACCAAUAGACCCACCCAGGCAGAGGUAAAUUCGCUCAUUGGACAGUUCGUCUCCCUUUCCCCCUGGGGAGUUGUUGCCUUUCGCGGGAGCCUGGACUGAACAAAACCCAACCCAAGAAGCAGCAUCUCAAAGUUUGGGGGGGCGUCAGUGGGGAGCCAAGAGUAGCGGGGGAGGUUUCCUUGGAGUCCGUGAAUCGCUAUGGCUCAUCGGGUAUGGUCAGAGGAGCCUCAGGAAGAUGCUGUUGGAGACCAGUUCACCGAUAUAAUCAAGAUCCGUUCUGCUGCUCACAAGUGAGAAUUUUCUGCACUUUUACUGGAGGUUGAUGCCACCUAUAGUGGACUGCUGAUGAGGCAGAGUUCUUGAGCACUUUGUGGAGUGCUUUGAAGACAUUAAGGCAUUUAAUGAGGAUAAGGAUUUGGGAAACUUUCCUCAGCUCAAUGAUGAUAAGUGGGUCAACACCCUCAUAUUUUUUACAGAUCUCUCUGUUUUGAACUUAAAGUUACAAGGUUUUGGCAAAAGUAUUGAUGCUAUGUUUUAGAUACAUAAAAGCUUUUGAGAGGAAACUUAAUAUUUUCAAGCAAGAUGUAGAAGCUAAAACUUAUACGUAUUUUCCUCAAGUAACAAAGUAUUUUGAGAAGGCCAGUGCAACUGUACAAAAUGAAAUGGAAUCCUUGCAUAUAAAGUACCAGCAUAUUUUAGACUUGUUACUUGACCAGUUCAGUUAUAGAUUUAAUCAAUUUAGAAGCCUAGAACAGACCAUGAAAAUAAUUAAGUAUCCUGAUGUAGAAGUCUACAGUAGUUUGAAAUUAAAUGGUUUCCAAUGGAUGCAAAUUGAUGAUUUGUAGAUGCAACUUGAAGAAUUUCAAGACAAUAUCUGGGCUCAGGUCAAAGCUUGAGAAUCUGUAAAGGUACUGCUUGGAGAAUCAAGAGGGGUGCCACUAUGAACAAGAAAUUUGGAGUGACUGGAACCAAUUAGCAGACACUUUAAGCACCCUGAAAAAUAUAGCAAUAACUUUACUCACAAUUUUUCCCUCUAUGUACAUUUGUGAGACCCUAUUCUCAGCAUUAAUCAAAACCAGCAAAAGAAACAGAUUGACAGAUGAAGUUAGUAGUGCUUGUUUGGGCUUGAAGUGUACAAAAUAUCAUCCUUCAAUUGAAGAUUAAGCCAAUGAAACUCAGCAACAAAGAAGUCACUAAUAGACAGGUUAGUUAAAGAAUUCCCCCUCCCUCUCACUUACCUUAGCUCAUGGCACCCCACACAAGUUAAAUAAUAUCAAGACCAACAAAAGAAACUGACUGAUAGAUGAACAAAGAAGUCACUAAGCAGGUAAAUUAAAUAAUUAGUUUUUGAUUUAUUAAAUACAGUUAUAUGUUACAGUUAUACAUUUUUGUUAUUUAGACUAUAAAUAUCAUAAAAUUAUGUUUUUCUUAAAGUGACACACCACCUGAGCUAUGCUCAUUUUUUUGGUGAAAUUUGGCACAGCAAGCUCAAAAGGUUGCCCAUCACUGAGUUAAGACAUCAUCCUGUGAUGCCAUUGGUACCCUUUGAAAAUGAAGAAUGAACAAUAACACACGUGAUAUGCAUAUGUAUAAAUAUGUAUACAUACCAUAUAUGUAUAUUCAUAAUAUCAAAUAUAUGAACACAUAUCAUAUAUGCAUAUGCAUGUGUAUAAUGUACAUUUGUAGCUGAUCUCUUGGAUGAGGGUGAGUCUAGUUCCUAAUUAUUAUGAUUAAUAAAUUCCUGAUAUGGUUGCAUUAUUCAGAUUCAAACUAUGUAUUUCUAAUUAAGUAGGAACCAUUUAUUGUAUUUUAAAAUUUAUAAUUUCAAAUAAUGAGAAUUUGAAUACAUGGGAACACUUCAAGAGAUUCAUUAUCUGAAAUAAUUAGGAUAUCAAAAUAAAUGAUUAGGAUAUAUAUACAUAUGUAUAAAUAUUGCAUCUUGUAUCCCCUAUAUUUUAUACAUAGUCAGGUAGGUGGAGGAGUAGAUAAAAGAUAAGACUUGGAAUUAGGAAAACAUAAAUGAUGCCUCAGAUCAUUUCUACUUGCAUGACUCUAGAUAAGUAAUUUGACCUUUCUUGAAAAUUCAUUUUCUCAUCUGUAAAAUGAGCAUAAUAAUUCCUCUCAUGGAAUUGUGAGGUUCAAAUGAGGUGAUAUAUAAAAUGCUUUGCAAUCCUUAAGUCACAAUAUAAAUUUUAGUUAUAUUAAGUAGUUAAUAAAAAUUUCUUGAAUUGAUCAACUACCCUUCCAAAGACUCAUGUCUUUCUAUGCAGAAGCCUCUUAAAAUAUAUUUUUACUAAUGACUCUCUUUCCCCUCCCCUUUCUCACCUUACUUCAUGCAGCAUGUAAUUACCACUAUUAAAAAAUCUAGAAUAAAAAGAGACCUGAAUUAAAAUAGUGAAUAAUUUUUUUUGAGUCAGUUGAAAGCCUAUCUAGGAUGAAACAGCUGUAAUUUCUAAAGGUGUCUGGCUUGGGGCAGAAAAAGUGGUAGUGCGCAUCUGCAUUAUUACAUAGUCAGAAAAUGAAGUACUAUUAAGACAUGUGCAUAAUGUAUUCUAGUCUCCAGGAAGCAAAAAUUUAUAUACUGGAAAACUACUAGCAUUGCUUAUGGGCAAUAAAAGAGUUUCAUAACAGUAUAUUCUUAUAAUAGUAAGCAUAUAUUCAAACAUCUUAAAGAUAUAUUAGUGAUUAAUCUAUAGUUAUAAUUUUCAUUGGACCUUCUUGCCCAAAUAAAUAUGGUAAUUUAUGGUUUGUGUUGUUUUCUAUAAAUGUGACAUUCUAAAUUUGUCUCCCAAGUAAAAGUAAAAUUAUCCUUCCAUGACUUACAUUUGUAAUAAUGAAUUUUAGACUCAAGGUGAGUGAAGGUGACAGAGAAGAGUUCCAGUCUUGGAAACUACAACAUAUUUGAUUUAAGUGGAAAAGCCGAUGCACACAGACAGUCCCACUCUCUCGGCGUUGGAAGCCUGAGUCCAGUGGCAUGAAGUCGUUAUAUCUGGAGACUUCCACAGCUGCAUUGGAUGGCCGUGUUGUCUUUUGUGCUCCAUCACGCCCUAAGCACUCCACAGUGCCUUGCUGCAUCGCCAUCUCAGCCGUUGAACCUUCUUAUUGGUUUCUUCCGCCUGCUCCGCUGAAAGUCUUCACAUGCUGGGUGAGCAAAGCCCUGGUUCACCAGGGGUUGAUGUCGACCCGAUGGCUACCCUCACAAGGUUUAGCCGGCCUGUCGAAGCCGUUGCCCGGGGUGUGGCCGCUGCCGCAUGCUAGCAGCUACUGGGAGCCACAAGUGAGAGCUGGGUGUCAGGUGAGGGUCAGAGGCUGGCGAGCUGCCCUAGAAGGGCACGACAAGCCCUCCAUACCAGAGAUAUUACCCCUCCCUGAGCACCCCCUACACCCCACAGGAUGAGGUAGAGGAUGGUGAACCAACCUUGAAGUCAAAAAGACAUUUUUGAGUCUUGCUUCUGGCACAUACUGCUUAUAUAACAAUCAGAAAGUCACUUAACCUUUCUAGUGCACUUGACAACUUUAAGACUAUAGUUUGCAGAGAGGGUGCUGACAGACAUUAAAGAAAUGCCUCCUCUAGGAAUUUUGAAUGCCAAUAAAACCAGAGGUUAAGUCUAAAUUUGUUUUUGAAAAGGUGACUGAUUCACAGAAUCAUCAGGUUGGAGGAAGUCUUUGAAGUGAUCUAAUUUAAGGUAAUCUAACCCAAGGUUUUUUAAAGUAGCUAUUGUUUCAUACAUUGCAAUAUUUUUAUCUAGGACAGAGUCUAGCUUGUAAUAUAGUAGACUCUAAAUAAAUGCUUUUUUCAUUCAUUGCUUGACUGAAUUUAUUCAUUAUAUUUAUUAUCAUGUUAAUAAUAUAUUUUAAACAUAUCAUAUAAAUAGAACAUUAUAACAUUAAUUCUAUGGAUAAUAAUUAAAAUAUUUGCAUAUUAAUAUAAUAUUACCAUAUCUAUUGUCAUAUUUAAUGCUUACUAUGUGCCAGGCACCAUGCUAAGUGAAGUAACAUUUUAUUUCAUUUGAUCGACAAAAUAACUUUGAGAUAGGUGUUAUUGUUAUUUUCAUUUUCCAGAUUAGAAAACUGAGACAUUAAUUGACUUUCCUAGUGUCACAUAAUUAGUAUCUGAGGUUGUAUUUUAACUCAGGUCUUCUUGGCUCUGGGUCUGAUACUCUAAAUGCUGCAGCACCAAGCUGCCCUUAGUGUGUCUGUCUGUCUUUUUAUAUAGUAGGACCUCAGUUUAUGUGACAUUCCAAAAUCUUUUGCAUAAAUUGAAAACUAUGUAUAAUAGCAAAUCCCAUUAUUUAAUAUUUUAAUAUUUAAUAUAUUUUAUUUUAGAUAAUAUAUAUAAUAAUUGAGUAUAUUUAAUAAGUAUGUCUUAUGGGAACAUGCCCGGGAACUAUACAAUUAUUUUUAGACUUAUCAGAGCUACCAGCAUCACUACUUUUGUACUUUGAGGUCAUUAUUAAUAACUAAAUAGCAUUAAUGAAACAAGAGAAGCACUGCUCUGACCCAGAGAAGAUUUGUUACAAGUGAGAACUCCAGACAAAGACUAAUGCAGGGCUAAUGUUUGGCGCAGAACAAGGUAAUGACUUAUAUUAACACUCCUCAAAGUGAUAAGGAGCAUGAUUGGUGUAUGCUGCUGGGAGACUGCCCUGCUUGAGAAAUGGUGAGGAUUUAGUGGAUAAUUAGAUUUUUUUAUUUUGUGUAUUUUUCUGCCUUUACUUUCUCCUAUUGCCAAUCAUGAAUUCACAGGUGUUGAAUUCUCAUAAAAUGAGUUCUUUCUGUAGAGUUGUAUCUCUUUGUGUCUAUAUAUAUAUCACUCUGUGCACAUGUGUGUAUGUCCCUCUGUCCCUCUGUGUGUGUGUGUGUGCAUGUGUGUGUGUGUGCAUCUGACAGUCAUCUGACUCACUCUUAUAGUUUCUCAGUGACAGAAAACACUACAUCCUAAUGAAACACAUUCUAUUUUGGGGUUACUCUAAUUCUUUAGAAGUGUUUUUUUCCCCUUACAUUGAGCAGAAAUCUGCCUUCUGUAACUUUUGUCUUUUCCACCUUAACUUAUUCUCAAAUGGAUAGAAUCUAUUCCAUUUAUGUUCCUAGAACUACUCUUCUAGAUAUGUGCUGUUUAUCAAGAUAUUUCUAAAAAUGUUAUGCCCAGAAAUUUAGAUUGUAAUCUAGUUGGGAACAAAGAUCCCUAAUCUACUCUAAAUUUUGACACUGUGCCUCUUUCAUAAAGAACCUUUUAUCAAAUUACUUUUUGUGGCUGUCACUAUACACAUAUUAAACUUAUAAAUCUACUAAAAUUUCACCAUUUUUAUGUGAACUAUUGAUUAACCACACUUCUCUCACAUUACCUAGAUUAAAAAUAUGUUAAAAAUUGUUAUUUAAAAAUUAUGUAUUUAUUAAUGGAUUGUAUUUAUUAAGGACUUAAGAUUUACUCUUCUUUAAUUUUACUUAAGUCUGCAUAAUAUCUUAGGCUUCUUAUUUUGAAGGAUUAUUCUUCCCUUGUCUUCCAUUAACGACAUCUGAGGAUCUGGACUCAAAUGCUACCUCUCCCCUCAAUACUUCUGAGACCUUGGACAAGUCGCUUUUCUCAAUUUCCUUCUCUUUCAAUUACAGUUCAUAGAUCAGAGGUGCUCUGAAUCUCUUCUUUCUCUAAAUUUAUGAUCCCAUUGUCCUAUUGGAUUUCACUGAGAUGAAAUUUAACUUCUUUAUAGUAAAAUUUCAAAUUCACUUUGUAAUAGAGUUAGAGUUGAGAACCUGUGUUGAUUUCAGGAAGACCCAGGUUCUAAAUUUGUUUUCCUUACCUACUCAUGAUCUGAUUCUUGAUAAGGUGUUUAUUUUUCAGUGCCACUUAACCUUUAAGACUCUAAUUUAAAGAACAGUUAGCAUUCUGCAUUGGUAGAGAGGUCCCUAAAAUCAGUAAAAUUACAAAUACAAAUUCUUCCUUCCAAAAAAAAUACAAAAAACAAAAAAAAAAACAUUUUUUAAACCCUUCUCUUUAACCAUGUAUAGAUGGGCAUGACUAUAAUGUUGCUUUUUAGGCAUUCCCUAUCAUGUCAUUCUAAAAAUUAGCCCAUAUCUUUUUUGUUUUCUUUUUCCUCUAUAGGCCUCAUUAUUCUAUACUUGACUUAGAUUUCUAUAAGAGCCACUCCAUGUAAACACUUAAUAAUGUAGAUUCCCAAAUGCAUUAAAGAGCCAUCAUCUUAUUAGACCAUGUGAAGAAUCAUCUUAUGAGUCAUAGAAAGGCAACAGAUGUGGAAUGUGGUAAGAAUUAAGAGACUACUGAAAUAAUGGGCAUAACUGAGCUCACACCCAAAUAUAUAAUCCAAAUGGAGGAUUGUAAAGAGAAUGGUGCUCUGAUAGAAUCUGACCAUACCAGGCAUCUCUCUUGCAAUGUGUCCCUGACCCUAUAACACUGCCAUUUCUCAUUCCAUUAUUUCUAUCAAAAAUCAUUGAUAAUAAGACUAAUCAAUUUAAUGGAGAAUAACAUCUAUUCUAUAUUACAUUGAAAUAGAUAUUUACAUUUUUGAUGCUAAAAGGAAUGCAUGUAAAAAUACUUUAGCUUACGUGAAGUUUUAAUCAUGUUGUUUUAAAGCUUUAUUUUACAGUUAUUUCAGGAAAAAAAUUUUAGUUUACCAAAUCCAGUUAAAACAGAUUAUUUUUAAACUAUUGUACAAUUAAUUAUCUUUGGUAUAUUAAUCCCAUGGAAUUGGAGUAGAAGAGAUUUGGAAGAUUUUGGACCACAAUAUUGGAAAUUAGAUGGAGUUAUUUUUGUAAAUCAUUCAGGAAACCUCUGGAAACUCCUUAAAGUUUAGCCCUAGGCCAUCUUCUGAUUUAUUUGUGAACUUUUCCUGAAAUAGUUACUAGAAUAUAGUAUGCCAAAUGCUAUAAAUAUUUACAAGCCAUAACUCUUACUUCAUGGAAUUUUUGAAGUUUGACAUAUUGAAAAUCAAAUUUAUAUUAGUUUGUUUUUAAAUAAAUGAGCUACAUCAAUUUUAUUGUUUUUCUAAUUACCUCCAUUUAAGUUGGAGCCACUCUUUCCCCCCAAGCUUUUCAUGGUCCAAGGCUUCUAAAAAGAGCUAUUUACCUUAAAAGUUCUUCAGCCAAGUUAGUAAGUAUUGAGAAAUGGGUAGUUAGAUGGGCAGUUAAUUUUUAAAGUAUUAUAUAUAUAUGCAUAUAUAUAUAUUUAUAGUAUAUGUUUAUAUAUAUUUAAAGUAUUAUAUAUAUAUACAUAUAAUACAACUGAUCCUGGUUUGAAAAGUUUAUAUUUUACCACAGAAAGUGAACACAGAAAAAGAUACUCUCUGUAGGCAUUGAAAGGAGUCUACAUGGAGAGGAAUAGUUCCCAGUUGGAGAAGGCAAAAUUCUAAUUGAGUUGAGGCAUGGAAGGGGGUAAUAGAAACUGGUUAUUUGCACAAGUUUGCCCAGCAAAUCAAUUGUGGAGAAAUUUGUCUAGCACAUAGUAGGUGCUUAUUAAAUAUUUACUGAUCAACUGAGUGAUUGAAAUAACUAGGAUUUGUAGGAAUCCUCAUUGUCUAAUUAGAGAGUAAUCCAUGCAAACACUUGACUGUUAUGACUGAAGACAGGGACUUUUGUUCAGUUAAAAUGUAUUCAAUAAAACCAUAUUUUAAACAACCCUUAAAUGAGGCAGGAACUUCCUUGCUCUCUGCUGUAUAUUUUUCAGUUUUCAUUCCUUUAUUCUUUAGAUCAUUUUAACUGGAAAAUGGAAUUUAUGGUGAGCAUUGGCCCCAUUUGAUCAUUUUGAUAAGCUGUGCUUUCUUUUCAUUCUUUCCUGUGAAAUUGUAAUGGUAAUACUCUACAACUUACCCUGAGAUAAAUGUUCUUCAUUUGAAAGGGGAAUGAGAUUCUUGUAAUGCUACUAGCUUCUUAAUAAGAAAAGGUACUUAGCUACAGGCAGGGGAAAAUAAGUAUAGAAACAUUGGAUUGCUUUCUUGUUAAUCAUGUUUUUAUUGAGGCUUUCUAUUUAAGUGUGUGUGUGUGUGUAUGUGUUUAAUAUCCUGGUCAGUUCUAAAAAGAAGAAAAGUGAAAUAAGUAGUAAAAUCUCAUUUAGUGAUAAGAGGUGGUGCAAAGAGGAAUUCUUUAUUUGCAAAUAGGUUAAGUGGCUAAUUGAGUAAAACUAAUGGGGUCUACAUUAUAGAAUAUACUUCAUUUGCAAAUAUGAACGAUGUAUGCUAAUUUCAUGUUUAAAAUAUUCUGCCUUGUAAGGGAUUCUCUAAAGACAAUGUUGUUUUUCAGUUGUUUUCAGUCAUGUCCAGCUCUUAAUGAUCUCAUUUGGUGUUUUAUUGGCACAGAUACUGGAGUGGUUUGCUAUGUUCUUCAGCUCAUUUUAUAGAUGAGGAAACUGAGGCAAACAAGUUCAUAAAAAUCUUGUUCUGCAUUACACAGCUAGUAGGCAUCAGAAGCCAGAUUUGAUUAUUCAUGAUUCCAGGCCCAGAACUCUAUCCUCUGAGCCACCUAGCUACCCCUAAUGACAACUGCUAUCCCCUCUAAUGACAAUACUAACCAUUUAAAAGAUUAUGUAUAUAUUCUAUAAUGUAUAGUCAUGGCUGACAACAUUGGACUUCUGAAACUAGAGUAAUAGUAGAUUGUCCUACAUGUUACACUUUGUAGUGCAUAUUGUAUUAAGUUUGGGAAAAGUUUUCUCCUGUUUUUUUGUGUCAUUUUCCCAAAAGAAAUGUAACUUUGGCAUUUGAGCCCAUAUUUUCUAGGUGAUAAAAUUAUGGUGAAGAGAGUUAAAUGAUGCAAAUACAGCAUAGCAUUAGACUUUUUUUGAGAUUGAAAAUUAGGGAUUCUCAAAAUAAGAAUCGGUACAGUUUUGUGUGAUAGUAAAAUUGCUGAUCUUUUGCAUAUUCACAAAUUAUUACAACUGUGUGUGUGCAUAUUUUAGCAGAUGCAAGUUAUAUACUACUUAUGCCUACCAAGCGUUUCUUCUUUUCACUUUUUUUCCAUCCAUAAUUCUAAUUUCUUAGAUAUCAUUGUGUUCCCAUAUUUACACCAAAGCACUCUGACAGAAGAACAUGUUUUUUUUUUUUUUAAUGAGUAGAUGAAUAGAAGAGCAUUUUAGGAUCAUUAAAAGAACAGAGCGAUUUUCCUAAAUACCACCCAGUUUGCUAUUUACUUCUGGUCCCUAUUCAUUGCCCUUUAGUACUAUUUGUGCAAGGUACAUGUACUAAUAUGCUCACAUAAUGGAAUGAUCAUCUCACUUCCUACAAUAUUCUAAUAACGGGAGUUUUUCAUCUUUUCAGUUGUUUUUGUAUCAAUUAUUGGCCAUUUUUCCUUUAAAUAACUAUAUAUCUCCAUAAGGACGCUCUAUUACAUUUCAGAGCUUGAUGAAAUCAGUAUAAUAUUCAAAAAUAGCAUCUGAAUAAUCUCACUUGCUAAAAAAAUUCACCUACUCUAUUUGGGUCUUAGACAAAACGUCCUCUAUGACAGAGGUGGACACCUUUGGCAAGAAUAUAUCUGUCCUAUUUUAUGCCUUCUUUGUUGUUAAUGUUAGUCAUUGAACACUUUCCUCUGUAAUUACCUUUCUUAGGAAAUUUUUAUAAUCACAACAUAUGCAUGACAGAAUAAUUGAUGGAGAAGAUCCUUUAAAGAUCUCUAGCUUUCUGUUGAGUUGACUAAUUUCUGCUAGUCCAUAAAUAGUGCAGAAGAAUCUUUUAUUUUGUAUGUCUUUUAAAUUAGAUGACUAAAAAAAAUAACUUGAUAUGAAAAUGUUUUUAAAUGCCUACCUACCUCUUCUUUGAUCACAUUUUUAAAUUUUAUAACAAAUUUUAAUUUUUUCCAAAUUGUAUGUCAAUACAAUUUUAAUAUUCAUUUCUGAUAUUUUGCAAUCCAUGUUUUUCCCUCCCUCUCACCCUCUGUCCUCCCUAGUAAGGCAAGUAAUAUCAUAUAGGUUUUAUAUAUAUACAUAUAAUCAAAUAGUACAUAUUUCCAUGUCUAUUAUGUUAUGAAACAAGACACAUAUUGCUUACAUUAGAAAAAAUUCAUGCUUCAUCUUGUUAUUUUUGUAGAUAUGGAGUAAAUGUGAUAGAUUUUAUAUAGAUUUCUUUUGAGAGGCAAUGAUGGUGUUUACUUUUCCUCAAAUUAAUUUUGAUAUCUUCUCCAUAGCACAAUAUCUUGCAAAUUAAUCACUCAAUGGUUUGAAGAUUACAAAGCAUAUUCUCCUGUCUUAUUUGGUCUGCUCCAGCUUUUUUAUUCUUCUGACUUUGUGUUCUUAAACAUAACACAGAAAUAAAGAAGUUAGCAUCCAAAUAUGGUAGUUCCCUCUCGAUGACAAAAAUAAGACACCAAAGAAAAUUCUGACAAAGAUGUUCCUUUUUCCUAUUGCCAAUCAACCUGCCAGUUUCAUCUAUAAAUGGACUUUGGAUGAUAUACAAGUCUCUGAGAUCUAAAAAUAUCUCGUGUAGAGUUUGUAUAGGUUUUCUUUUCAUUUCCUUCUUCUUCAAGUUUUGCAAGGUAGCACUGUUCCUAAUCAUUUGCCAAUCUCUCCUGCAGUGUUUUACAAAUGAAAGCUAUAUUCUAACUGGCUUGGUCCUUGGAUACUGUCUCUCCACUUGACAAGAAGAUCAAGAUAUUGACUGAGGUGGUUUUGUGACUCUUUGAACUCCCUGUUGUGUCUGUUGCUUCAUGUCAGUUAUAAAUUUUCAGAGCAUAGUAAUAUACUAUGCUGUUGUACUUGCUUUUUUUUUUCUAUUACCCAUCCUUCAGCAUUCAUGUCUCAUUUGUUAUAGAUAUCUCAACUUCUUCAAUUGUAGGAAGUGUCUAUAUAUUUAACCCUUUUUAAAUCUCAUGUUGGCUUUCAUUUUUGCUUUAAGUACUCAAUGAUCUGAUUGCACAGAAUGCUGAUUUGGAUAUGACUUCCCCAUCAGGACCUUGGUAGGUUCUGUCUCCAGAUACAACUGAUUUCUCUUUCUGUUUUCCUUUCUUUUUUAUAUAGCUUGGUUCUCAACUUUUUAAGAACUUGCCAACUCUUUAAAAGUCUAUCUGUAGCAAUAAUCAAGGAGAUUCUGAAUUCUCUACAGGCUUUUAGCUUUUGACAUUUCUGAAAUUUCAGUCACAUUUUUUGGUUAUAUAUUAUUUCCAUAAGCAUACAGGAACAUUGAUAUAGAAUUCAGAGAGACCUUAGAGAUUAUCUAUUCUAAACUUGAUAAUUUUCAGUUGAAUAACUGAGGCCUAGAAGAUUUAAGUGACUUUUCCAAGGUCACACUUUUGGUAACUGUUGGAAAUGAUAAAUUAAUUUCUAGAUGUUUAUUAAUUAUUACAUAUUGUAUAUACAUAAUAAUAAAUAUUAAUUAAAUUAAUUAAUUCAAACUCUGUCUCCAAAUCCACUAAGGCAGUACUUGGUGCUUACUUUUGUUUUUUAAUUGAAAAUUUGAACCAGGAACAAAACUGCAAGCAUAACCAUUAAGCAUAUAUGUAGGUUGAGAAGAGAAGAACAUUUUAAGGUGUAUUGGUAGCAGUAGCAGCGCUAGGUGUAAUAAUGCAUAUGUAUGUCCUCCACCCCUCAAAAAAAAAGGAGUAAUUGGCCCAGACCAGCAAUGGACCAUUUUCCUGAAAUGUCAGACAGGAUAUUAUUGCUUUUUUUCAUCUUGGUUAUUCUUUUCAUUCUACAACCUCAUCUGAAGUCAUGAACCCAAAUUACUCACAGUCAAAGAGAAUGAGUAUAUCUUGACUAUUGAAAUACUUCACAGAGAAUGCAUCUCACUUGCCUAAUAUCUUCCUUCAGUGUCUCUUCCUUCUUUACUCAUAGUUUACUUUUUAAUUUAGCAAAUGGUACUUCAGCUCCCAAGUUCACUUACCAUAUAUUAUUGUUUAUUAUAAUCAUUUUCCUUUGUGUCUUUGUAUCUUGUUUCUGUACUAUCAUAUGGUUCAUGAAUAUAUUUUAUUACUACUUUGUGUCUCCCCUACUAGUUAGCACAACAUUUUUACCUAAUGUAGAUACUUAAUAGUUGUUGAAUGAAAGAAGGAUUAUAAAAUUCAGCCUGUGCUUCUUUAGAGAUCCAAAACAAACUAUUUGUUAGCAUAGCUCUAAAUCCUCAUUUGGCCCAUAUUUACAACUAGAAAGUGGGAAUAAAUAUUCAUUGUGUGCCAAGUCUUAUGCUCAUAGACUGAAACAAAAAAUGAAAAAAUAUUGCAAUCUUGAAGUGAGCCUCAUUAAGAUAACAGAAGCAGCUCAUUAAGAUGACAGAAGCAGUUAAGCUUAUCACAGCUAAAACACACAUACACAUAGAAAGAAAUAGUUCCAUAAAAGAAUGCAGUGCUUUAAGAAAACCACAUGUAUGAAGUUCUAAGCUUACAAAACAGAUAAAAUUAUGAUGUAUUUGUUUACAUUAAAUGAAUUUGCAGUGAAUCCUUUUGUAAAUAUCAUAUGCAGAAAGAUUUUUUUUUCCUAGAUCAAUGAUCCUAAUCUAUGAGCCAUGGAUAUUUGUCCAUAGACUUGAAUGUCUAACUCAUUAAAAAUACUAAAAUUUAUGAGAAAGAAUGUAAAGACUGAAUGCAGUACAUAUAUUCAGCAGAAGAAUUCUACAUUACUCAAAUAUUCAUUAGCCAUAUAUCACAGCAUCCCUAAAAUCACAAAGGAUAUAUAUAUAUAUAUAUAUAUUUUUUUUUUUGGUGUAAACCUCUGAUUUCAUUGGUUUAAAGAACUGCCACUUAGGAAACUUGCUCAUUCAGUGGUAUUCCAUCCCUUCUCUGCAACCAUAGCCUUAGAGGAUGACUUUGAUAUUUAAACUAGUCUCUUUUUAAGUGUUCACCAAUAAUCUGAGAAAGAACAAUGAAUAGAGAGAGAUAUUAUUCUUCUGGGUGUGUGCAGUUGAAUGGGAACUGAUAAGGAACUAGUUAAUUAAUCAAUGUUUAUAUUUUCUGAUGAUAUAUACUUAGAAUGGAACCUUAGUAGAUGGAGAAUCAAAAAGACAUGAGUUCAAAAUCUGCUUAUAACAAAUACUGGAUGAGUGAUUUUUGAAAAAGAAUUUAAUUUCUUAGGAUCUGCAGGUAAUCCUCUAAGGCUAUGGUUGCAGAGAAGGGAUGGAAUACCACUGAAUGAGCAAGUUUCCUUAGUUAAUGAAACCCUUAUUGGUUUAUUCAUUUUUACUAUUUUCUGCAAUAUGAUCCCUCUUUAAGAUCUUACUGUAAAAAUAAAAAAUGAAAUCAAGACUUCCAUAUCAUGCUGUCAUAAAUUUUUGUCAAGAAGAUUAUACUCUCAUUGAAAUUUUAUGUAGGCAAAGGGAUAUUACCCUGUGAAUGCAUGGACUUCUUAAGAAAUCUAGGAGAGAUUAUAAGGUAAACUUGGCUGGUCGAGGGAUGGAGAAAGCAUAUAUAUAUGUAUUCUUAAUUAAAAGAGAUACCAAAUUUCAGUUAGAGGUUAAUGAACAAAUCCCCUCUAACUGAAAUUUGGUAUCUCUUUUAAUUAAGAAUAUAGGAAACGGGGGCAUCUGGGGUAGUUCAGUGGAUUGAAAGCCAGGCCUAGAGAUGGGAGGUUCCAGGUUCAAAUCUGGCCUCAGACACUUCCUAGCUAUGUGACCCUGGGCAAGUCACUUGACACCCAUUGCCUAGCCCUUACCACUCUUCUGCCUUGGAGCCAAUACACAGUAUUAAUUCCAAGUCAGAAGGUAAGGGUGUAAAAAAAAAAAGAAUAUAGGAAACAAUGUGGGAAGUGUGCUGUAGUAUCCUCCAGACUCUUAAAUGGGUCCAUCACACACACAAAAAGAAUCUUGACCUAAGCUGUUUUGUGGAAAGUCAAGUCGAUAAAUUGUUUAUCUGGUCCUAUGUAGACAUGACUACCUUUGUUGUUGUUUGACAUGUUAAGUAAGAGUUGGAAAUAACUUGAAUCUUUAUACUUAGUUAAAAUACCAAGAUGAAUUUUGUGAUGCUGCCUUAUUAAUGGACCACCUAGGUGGCCCAGUUGAUAGAAUUCAAGGUCUGGACAUAGGAAGACUCAUCUUCCCUGGUUUAAAUCUUGCCUUAAUCGUGUACUAACUGUGUGACUCUGGACAAGUCACUUACCUUUAAUUGCCUCAGUUCAUCAUCCAUACAAUGAACUAGAGAAUUAAAUUGCAAAUCAUUCUAGUUAUUCCUGCCAAGAAAAUCCCAAAUGGGGGAAUAAGAGUCAGAUAUGACUUAAAAAAAAAGUCAAAGACAUUAUUAAUAGUUUAUGUAGUUUUAAUUAUCAUCAUCUUGAUUAUACAGUUUUAAAUCAAUAUGUGCAUAUUAUUGUGAAUAUAAUAUGAUAAUAAUACAUUGUUAAGUAUAAAUGGUUCACUCUUUUAUAGAAUCAGAAAUAAAUAUGUUUCUUGUGCAGCAACAUUAUCUUCUCUAUAUACAUGAAUUUCUCACUUUACAGUUAAGCCAUAUCAAAAUAAUAUUUUAUUUUUAAAAUACAUUUUAAUAAAUGAAAUAUUAUUUUCUUUUAGAUUUCAGUUAUUCUAUAUUCUCCUAAAAGCUUAUCAAUUUAAAAAAUAAUUCACAUAAUAGUUUGAAUAAUUUAAAAAGUUUUAAAAGUCCAUUUUUAUUUUGGGAUUUAUACUUUUCUAGCCUAAUUAGCAAGUUAAUUGUAAUCCAAUCAACCCAUUUUAUUGGUGUCAAUCUUAUGAGACAUUUACACAUAAUAAGCUUUAAAACUAUAGUUGACUCAGAUCAUUAGAAGCUAAAUAUGACAAGAGGUUGCCAAUUUAUAAAAGGUCAAGAAGUUUUCCGUGCUUAGGUGUUAUUUGAAAAUCUAUAUGUCUAAAACUAGUAUUCCCUAUGAAUGUAGCAAAAACUAAGAGUGAAAUAUUCAUGUUGGCUUUCUUUUCAGCCACCAGCUGCCUCCUAAUGACUUUCCCAGCUGUGAUACUAGUAGGAAUGAAUUUUAGGCUAUAUCCUUAAUAUAAAUGUAUUCAUUUAUUUAUGUUAAGGUACAUAUAUUAUUUAAAGCUUCCCCCCCUCCCCACUCCAUCUAUACAUAGGCAGCAUAGACUGCAGUAUUAUUUAGGGACUGGGAUGGAGAAAAUAUACAGUACAUACUUUCCUAAUAAAAUAUGUAGCAAUUUUCUUAAUAUUUCAGUUUUUUUCAAGUACCUUCCUCAAAUCUUGAGUGGUAAACAGUUGAUGGUGAACCACUUACAACAUCUUUUUUUCUGUUAGAAAUUUGGUCAAUAUUGCUAAAUAAUAAAACUGGAAUUAGCUUGCAAAUGUGAAAAAGCACAUAUAGUUUGUUUUUUAAUUUAAUAUAUCAGCUCACUCUCUGUUUCUUUCUUCCUCUCAUUGAGAAAUUUUAAAAAUCAAAACAUAUGUUAGAAGAAUUUAUAGUCAAGCAAAACAAAAUUUAUCAGACAUGGGCAGAGAGAGAGAGAGAGAGAGAGAGAGAGAGAGAGAGAGAGAGAGAGAGAGACAGAGACAGAGAGACAGAGACAGAGAGAGACACACAGAGAGACACACAGAGACACAGAGAGAGGGAGAGUUGAUCUUCUGAUUUACUGUAAUUAUGUUGUAUAAAGUCUCCAAGGAACACUGAAUUAACAGAUUAUAAACCAUUGCUUGAAGGAGAAAUACAGAGUAAGCUUCCUAUGAAGCCCUGCUCACAUUUACUUCAGCACUUUUCAAAGUGGCUUUACCUACAGAUUAUCAAAUUUCCUUGUCCUUUUUCUAGAUGUGCCAUAUCUACAUGAUUCAUUAACAUUGAACUCACAGCCAACAGCUCUAUAACUCAUGUUGAAUGAAGCUUAUCUAACUCACUAGUUUCUUUCUAAGGUCCAUCACAGCCUCCUUGCUCUUAGCAGCACAUCAGCAUAUCCUUUGGGAAUAUUUUAAACAGUGAAAUCACCUACAAAAAGCAUACAAAUGCUCCCAAAGGUAAUGAAAUAAAACAUGAAAAAGACAUAUGUUUAUUCAUUCAUUUAUUCAUUUAAGAAAUAUUUAUUAAGUACUUACCUUACUAUGUUCAAGGCAAUGGACUAACAAUUGAUUUUCAAAAAGAGGCAAAAGAUAGUCCCUGCCUUUGAGGAGCUUACAAUCUAAUGAGAAGCACAAUAUGCAAACAAAUAUGUACAAAGUAUGCUAUAUACAGGAUAAAUAGGAAAUAAUUAACAGAGAGAAAACACUGGAAUUAGAAGGGAUUGGGGAAGGGUUUUAGAAAGUAGAAUUUUUUAGCUGGCUCUUAAAGGAAUCCAGGUAGGUCAGUAUUCAGAGAAGAGGAGAGAAAAAUUCCAGAUAAAGGGCAGAGCCAGAGAAAAUGCUAGGAGCUAAGAGAUAGAAUAUAUUGUUUAUGCAACAGCCAGGAGCCCAGUGUCACUGGAUUUGUAUUGGGGAAUAAGAUGCAAGAAGACUGGAAAGGUAGGAUGGAAUUAUAUUAUAAAGGCCUUUGAAUGCCAAACUGUUUAUUUUUGUAUUUGUAUCUGGAGAAUAUUGGAAGCCAGUGGAGAAGGUUGAUAUGAUCAGAUUUGUAUUUUAGGAAAGUCUCUUUAUUGGCUGGUUAUAGUAAUUUGGAGUGGGUAGAGACUUAAGACAGCCAGACACUAUUUUAGGUUAUUGUAGAAUCAAAGUGAGAGAUGAUGAGAGCCUGUACUAGAGUGGAGAUAGUGUCAAAGGAGAAAAGAGGACAUAUUUGGGAGAUGAUGUAAAGGCUAAAGUGGCAACCCUUGACAUCAGUUUGGAUGGGAGGGGGUGAUAAAUAAUGAGUAAUCAAGGACGACUACUAAAUUGUUAGCCUGAGGUACUGGGAGGAAAAGUGUUGCUUUCUAUAGUAAUAGGGAAAGUAGAGGCAUGUGUGUAUGUGUGUGUGGGGGAGGGAUUUAAAUGAAAAGAUAAAAGUUCUAUUUUGAACUUUUAGUUUAAGCUGUCUGUUGGACAUCCAGUUUGAGAUGUCUGAAAAGUCGGAGAUGUGAGAUUGAAGGUCAGCAGAAAGAUUGGGGAUUUGGGAAUCAGCUUGUCAACUUGAAGUGAAGAGAACUAACAAAGUAGCAACAACUAGGGUCUUUGACCAGUGCAGAGGAAUUGCAGUUCUGGAUCAUUAGACAACAUGGAAAUGCAGGAGAGUCCACUCUGAGGCAGGGAGGUGUUCAUUUCAACAAGGAGGAGUAAUUAGGAAGGAGCACAAUGAGGAGGCAUGACAAACAUUUUUUUCAGUACAAAGACUAAUAGAUCUAAGAUCUUCUAAUAGUUUCAUGCAGGUAUGAGGGGGUGGGGUUUCUCCAGAUAUUUAUCAUAUAUAAAUUAGCUAAGUUUCUAUUUAUCUCAAUUUCUUUCUUUAUCUUUUGCUUAGAUUUAUUUAGUUUUGAGAGGAAAAAAUUAAAAUCACCUAUUAUUAUUAUUUUGUUAUCUAUUUCUGUGGGUACAUUUAGUUUUUUCCUUUAAAAUAUGCAUACUAUAACUCUUAGGGCAUACAAGUCCAAUGUUGGUAAUGCUUCAUUAUCCAUAAUACCCAUCAAUAUAAUAUAGUUACCCUGUUCAUCUCUAUCUGAUUAUAUCUCUGACAGAGAUCAUGACUACUAUCCCUGCCUUCUCUGGGUCUGUUGAGGCAUAGUAUAUUCUGCUCCAGCCUCUCACCUUCACACUAUGUGUGCAUCUCAUUUUCAAUGUAUUUCUUAUAAGCAACCCAUUGUGAGGUCCUGGUUUUUUAUCCUUUCUAGUUUCCAUUUUCUUUCCACAGGUAAAUUCAUCCCAUUUACUCUCAAAAUCAUAGUUACUAGCUGUGCAUUUCCAUCAACUCACUUCCACUUCACUUUUUAUCCUCCCCCUUCCUUUCUUUCUGCUGUAUACCUCCUUAGAUCCAAUUUCCUUUGAGGAAUAUCUCUCCAAUUCACAUCCCAUCCCCCAAAUCCUCUCUUAAUCUCUCUCCUUACCCUCCUAGUUCCAAAUUAUCCCACCUUUCCAAAGGUCCCUCACUUGUUCCUUUCCUCUUUCCUUUUAAUUCUUAUUCUAUCCAUCUUUCCAAAAAUUACUUCCUGCUCCCAUUAACCAUGCCCUCCUAUUUCUUGACAGGAGUUCUAUUCUAAUCUAAAAAUCCCUCCUCUAUCUUGUCCUACAGUCCCUUCAUAUUCCCUCACAUUACUCCCCUAACUCUUAAUAGGUAUUCCUCUCUAGGUAACCCUUUCUUCCUUCCCCUUUCUUAUCCCUCAAUGCUCCUUUCUCUUAAUCUACUCUUUCUUCUUUUCUUUUUUUAGUCAUCCAAGAGAACUCCCAUCCUCUCCCUCAUCUCAUCCCCAGCCCUUCCCUCAUGUUUCUCUGUACCCUUAUAAUUCUGUAUAUCAUUAUCUCUUUAUCUCAGGUCUGACAAGAGUAGAGUUCUGGUACUAAUAGUUCUUCAUCCUCUCUUCCCUUCUUCAUGGCAGUUGCCCCUUUCUUUCCUCCUCCAUAUGAGAUAGCCACCCUACUUCCUCCUUUUCUAUUCCACUCUCAUUUUGACUCAUUCCAUUACAUUCACCUCAAACUCAAGUCUACUAUCCUUAUAUGUCCUUUCACAACACAAUGAUGCCAUUCCUAGGGGCCAUAUAUGGCAUUUUCCCCUGUAGAACUCAAACAAUUUGAAAUUUUGGGUUGUUUAUGAUUAGUCUCUCAUUACCAUGGUAUAUUUCUUAUAGAUCACAUUUUCUGCUGAGUUCUGGGUUUUUCCCUAGAAAUAGUUGAAACUCUUUAGUUAUUAUAUAUCCAUUUUUUGCCUUUCAUGAUUAUGUUCAUCUUUGCUGGAUAUGUUUCUCUUGGUUGUAAACCCAAGUCUUUUGCUCUACAAAAUGCUGUGCUCUAUGUCCUGCAUUCUUUAAUAUUUCAGCUGCUAAGUUUUGUGUUAGACUGACUAUAGCUUCACAGCAUUUAAUUUUCAUUGUUGUCAUCGCUCAUAGUAUUUUCUCCUUAACCUGAGGGCUAUGGAACAUAGCAAUGAUAUCCCUCCAUUUUCUUCUGUGAAUGUCUGAUCUUUUUUUUAUCAUUUGGGUGAUAUUUCAUUAAUUUUCUUGAUUUUUUGCAUCAUCCUUAUUUCUUCCCUAUUUUUUCCUCAUUCUCUCCCAAUUUGAUUUAGGUCUUUUUAGGUUCUUCCAAAAGCUCUUUUUGAACUUGUGGACAUUUAUUUUAUUUCUUUGCUAUUUUAAAAAUAGGUAUUUUUACGUCACUAUCCUUUGAGCUUGAGCCAAAGUCUCCUCUGUCAACCAUAAUAUCUAAUCAAUAGUUGGGUUUGUAAGGGGGGAAAAAAGGUUAAUUAUUAAAAAAAAAAGAUUGGACUGGAUUAUAUUUAAAAUAGGUUGCCAGGAAUAUAAUUUAUUUCAAAGAGAUUUAUUUAUAAUUCAUAUACAUUUAUAUACAUUUAUAAUUUAUUUACAAUAUAUAGAAAGAGGGAAGUAAGAAAAUCAGAGAGAGGAUAGGGUAAGAUAUCUAGCUGAAGAACUAAGUAAUUUACUCCUGGCCCCUGGCUCAACCUGGGCAGGGAGAGUUACUUUCAACCAGCCUCAGCAAAGCCGAGGACCUGAGGAAAACUCUCUCAAGAGGUAGCUCUCUCCUGAGGUUUUUUCAGUAAAUCCAGGAAAGGAGUCAGCCUUUUCACUCACCACAUGUCAGUCCAAAGGAAGAGAUUUAAGAACAGUCUCAUUAGGAACAGGGUCUCAGGUCCAGUCAGCAGAUUCUUCUUCAGCUGAAGAUCUCAGACAAUUCUCUCACAACUCUCAGAUGAUUCUCUCUCCACAGGAAGUUGUAACUCCCUUUUAAAGACACUUUCUUUUGCAUCAUUUCCUGUGCCUUCCCCUAAUUUUAUGUCUACCAAUCACAGUUGAAACUUUGCUUUAGGACUGCUCAGAGGCAGUUUAACUCUGGUUCAUCACCCACUAUUGCACACAUGGGUCACAGACCUCCCCCACUCAAGUGUGAAUGGGGUGUUUACAUCUUUGGUGAUUAAAUCUAAAAAUAGACAGAUCUCCCCACUCAACUUUUAAGUAGGGUGUUUAUACUUUUGGUGAUUAAAUCUAAAACUGGGCAAGAGAUUUAAUUUUAUUUUCACAAUCAGGGGAGAGUUCAUUAAUUUCAUUUUCACAAUCAGGGGAGAGUUAAAUUUAAUCUUCACAGGUUCUUUCUCCUUUACUUACCCAUUUUUAUUCAUUUGUUUUAAGUUUGGUCACAAGGCCAGUAGACUUAAUUAUUGGCUUUUUACUUGAGGCCAUGGUUUCUGAUGUAGGGAGGUAUGUUAUCUUAGGUUUUAGGAUUGUAUGUUUUUUUUUCCUUAGUUAUUUUAUUUUUUUAUAGUUCAGGGUCAGAUGCACUUCCCACCUCCUGCUAAAGCCCCAGUUCUGUGACUGAUCUCAGGAACCCCAACAAGAGCCUAGUUCUGCUACUGCAGCUUCAAGCAUACUAUUCCUGUGGCUAAACCAGGAACUCUACUCACCUGGGAGUGACUGCACCUGACCCUCAUUAACCACAAUCACCAGUGUGUGCACCUCCCUCACUAAUCUUCUAUUGUUAUAGCCCAGGAUAUAGCAGGUAUCUAGUCCAAAUUCCUUGUGCUUCCAACGUUCCUUGUUUGUUAGCACCAAGGUUUGAGUUCCUGCCCUAAGGCUUGGUGCCUAUAGCCACUAUAGAAUCCCAUCCUUCAGUCUUCUGCUGUGGGCCAGCCAGAGUCUCUGGAGUCAAGGCUACAGCAGGCACAUUGGUCCUGUGGCCAUGGAUUCCAAUUGUAUCCUCUGUAAAAAUUAAAUUAUAUCUCUAAUAAUAAAAAUAUUAUAUUUUAUGAGGUCUAUUAAGGAUCAUUAGAAAUCAAGGAAUAAAGAAGAUACAAAUAAAAAACCACGUGCCCAUGGCUGAUUAGCCCAUUUAAAAUCCUGGCACUUAGCUUACCACUAUACUUGCUACAUCUUUGCAGAGGAAGAGAGCCUGGGAGCCAUUACUGCCAGUUACAUACCAAUUGUGAUCUCGCCAACGUGGAGACUCAGGAGAGAUUAUAGGGAAUUCGGGGAAAUACCAAGGAUUUCUGGGGAAUGAAGUCUAGGGUUCAAAAUGUCCAUUUAUACACCUCCAGAAUGGAAGCACCAAGGUUCAGUAAACAAGGUGUGUUUGCUGGCUGUUGAUCUCAUUCUUCUUGGCUUUGUUCCUACCCACUAUGGUGAUGUGACUGAGGCUAUCAAAGUCAGAAAUCUUUCUUCCUAGUUAUUCCUGACUGUUCAAUUUCACUCCCAGGUGCCUUUCUAUUUUUGCAUUUGAUUUUGUGAAGUUAUUUUGAGUUGUUUGUGGAGGUACUAAGAGGAUGAGGAAGCCUCAAAAUCUACUCUGCCAUCUUCCUACAAUGCAUCUCAAGUGGUAAGUUUCCAGAGAUGUCACAUGAUCUGUUCCAGUCAUGAAGUCAGUGAAAACAAAAUAGCCUCUUGUGAUCCCUGCAUUUAACAAGUUUCAUACAAAUGACAAUUAAAUCCAUGGGAACUGAUGAGAUCAUUAAGUGAAGUAAUAUAGCAAGAGAAGAGAAGAGGAUCCAGGACAGAACCCUGAGGGAUAUUAUGGGAGGAGAAUCCUUCAAAGGUGGCAAAGAAGGAGAGGUCAGUCACAUAGUAAGAGGAAAAAGAGUGUGGGAUCUCCAAAACCUACAGUACUGAAAUAAUCAGGGCAAGCCUCACCUUCUUCAGUCUCAUCUGUCCUCAAAAAUUUUGCUGCUCUACAAACAUCAAAGAAUGACCAGUAAGACAAGCCAAAUAUCAAUUUGGAGUUUAAAAAUAAAUUUUAGUGAAUAGGCAAAUUCACAAAUAUUCAGCCUGAGGAUGAGGAUGAACUUGUGUGUAUGUUUGCAUGUGUAUGUGUACACGUGCAAGUGUGAAUGUGAAUCUGUGCUCUGAGUUCAUCACCUCUUUGUCUGGAAACACCAUGUUUCUUCAUGAGACCUUAGGAAUUACGGUUGGCCAUUUUGUUGAAGAGAGUUUCCAAGUUUUCUUUUUCUUUAUUUUUUUUUCAAAAAUAUUUUCUUUUAAUCAGUCAAUAUUUGCCUUCUUAUCCUUCCACCAAAACCCUUCUUUCUCUUUGAAUAUACAUGGAAAAUAAAAACCCAUUAAACAAGUAUAAUUGAUCAAAACAAAUUUCAACAUUGCCUGUGUCUUCAAUUUUUUUCCUCUCUCAAUUCUGAGUCCUUUACCUCACUGUCAGGAGGCAGGUAAUAUGUUUCAUUAUUAGUUUUCCAAAAUCCGGUUUGGUCAUUAUACUGUUGAGAGAGCUGUCGUAUCACAUUUAUAUAUCAUAAUUUUUUCAUCAAUUCCCACAAUAUAUGAGUACUCCCUGAGAUUCUUACUCUUUGCCAAUUCAAAAAGAAUUAUAAAUGUUUUUGUUUUGUUUAGGAUUAACCCCUCUUUUAAUCUAUUCGUUCUCUAAUUUCUCCUCCUUCCUCAAUAAAAUCAGUAAAUAUUUACUAAGCAUCCACUAUUUGCUAGGCACUGCACUAAGCAUGGAAGAUAUAGAAGUUCCUUCCCUCAAAGAGUUUACAGUCUAAUGUAGGAAGACCAUAUUAAAAAAAAAAGAAAGUGAAACAGCUGGGAGAGGCUUACAGUUAUAGGAGACAUGAUAGAGAAAUUAAAGAAUUAAAAACAAAAAAUAAAUAAAACAAAAAAAAAGAAUUACAAAAUUAUUGAAACUGAGUAAGAAAUUAGAAUAUAUGUGAAAAAAUGUCUUUCCUGUCCCUUCGCCUUAAAUAUUGGAGUUUAUUUCUUCAUCCUCUAAUCCAGGGGCAGAAGGUACCAAUGAAAUAUGAAUAAUGAGAGAGGUUAGAUCUUGCAAGAUGAUGAGAUUUUUCUAUGAUAAAUUAACUGGGGGCAUGGUGAAGAAUUCAAGGAAGUCCAAAAUUAGUAUAGCUAAGUAGGAAAUUUCAUUAUUGAGUGAAAUUCAUUUCUGUAGUAUCAACUCCAUGUGUGUGUUUAUGUCUUCUUUUCUAUUUUUUUUAUCAGAUCAGAUGACAAUGAGGUUCAAGUGUGUCAGAUAUUUCUGCCCACCCCUUCCUACUUAUUUGUAUAAAUGUCUACUUAUGCACUCCAUGUGGGAUAAUUUUCCUUAACAUUCCUUUCUUGGCCCCUUGAUAUGCUCUUCCCUUCUCUUUCUCCAUCCUCAAAAUUAAGAUAACACAACCACUCCCAGGCCUUAUUUAUUUGGACUCCUCCUAUGUAUAUUGAUAUUGAUAGGGAUGAGAAGUGACAAAUGUAUCAUAUAUAAGAAGUUUAUCAUCAUUUGGCAUUUUAUCAUUGUUCAUUCCUAUUUACUUUUUUGUACUUCAGAGUUUCUUCAUAGCCCUGGGUUUUUCAUCAAGAACAAUUGAAAGUCCUCUGUUUCAUUAUAGAUUAAAUUUUUUUUUCACAUAGUAGCAUUAUACUUAGUUUUGUUGAGUAAAUUAUUCUUGGCUGUAAUCCCAUGUACUUUGGUUUCUGGAAUAUCAUAUUUCAAGUUGUUUGUACCUGUAUAGUGGUGACAGGAAUUUGUAUAUGAUCUUGACUAGGAGUCCUCAGCACAUGAAUUAAUGCUUUCUUCUACUUUAGAUAGGGUAGUGUGUAAAAAAACAACCUUCCAUUUGGCAUCAGUCCCUAUGAACUGCAAAUAUUCCAGGAUGAGUCUGAAAUCUCUUUUCUUGGUGCACAACCUUCCCCUGGUGUUGUAGUCCUCUGUGCGACUUCCUCCUAGUCCAUCCCAGACUCCAUCUGUUCCCCCAUGCUGACCUGGACUACACAAAAGACUCUGGAUUUAUCCUACAGGAUUUGGUCUGGUACAUUUUUUUAGACCAGUUAAGAGGAAUUUAUAGAGAAGAACUUGAGAUACUGCUUGGCUCUUCCUCCAAAACCAUAUGUAUUUUGCAGGAGCCUUUAUAAAACCAAAUUUUGUAACAAAUAUAUGGCAUCUUGUUGCCUUUUCCUCUUGAUAUCCAUUAAAAGUUAUAUUAAAAAUGAUUACAAGUCCUUACUCAUGAAUAAGCAGUUUUACUUAAAUGCUUUUUGAUUUACUAUUCAAAAUAAGUAGUAACCAAAAACUAAAUGAAUUUUCUUUUGGCAUGUUAUCUUUUUCUUUGAUCUCUAGGCCUAUAGUUUGUUCAACUAACAGUGCCCUUCUAAAUGACACCUUAGCAGUUAGCUGAUGUUUAGAAAAUAGAGUUUUGAGGGGCAGAGUCAAGAUGGUGGCUUAGAAGCAGCAAAAGUUGAUUGCUCUGUGAAAACCCUUCCACCAGAGUCAAAAAACAAAGCUCUUCAAGGGGGACAGAAAAUCAAAUCCAACAAUAAGACAGAACUGGGGGACUCUCCUGCUGGAUUCAACUUAAAGAUAUGCAGAGAUGGUUGAAUUCUCAGGUUUAAGGAAAAGAAAAAAGGAAGUCCCAGUGCCCCUCCUCCACCUACCAUGCUGAGAUUAGGGUGGUUGGUGGAAUCUCCCAGCAAGGACUCCAACUAAGACAGACUACCUAGCUACCACAACUUUCUGAAGCUCGGAGCUCUGACCACAGCUGGCAAGGAGGCACCUGGAGGAGAGAAGCAGAGAAAAUGGAAGGCUGAUCUCAGCCUUUACCUACCAUACCUCCAUUUUAGUCCUCUGCCUUUGGAAGUUUUGACCUCAAGGCACAUUUGCCUCUGCAGAUCAGUUCAACUGGUUUAAUCCAGUUUAUCAAUAAUGCAGAGAGAAGCCUCCAGAGAGCAGAAAAGCUCAAUACUAUAAAGCUAAUAACCAGAAGAGCAAGUGUACAAAAAAGACAACGCCAAAGUCAAAAACCAGAUAGGUCUCUCCUACUUGAUUCAACCUGAAAGGUACACAGAUAAAGUCUAAUUCACAGGUGUAAGUGAAAGCUCCAAUACUCCUCCCCCAUCUACUGCUCUGAAACCCUCAAUAAGAAUUCAGUUGAUUGGGAUCCCAGGGCAAAGUUUGCAACCCCAAUGGAGUACCUUGGUCCCACCAUGGGAAGCUCAGGGCUCUGACUGGGAGCAACUGGCAUGGAGAGGACUGACAGACAGAAGUAGAGAGGAGGACCAAGGGCAGCUGGGAAAGAUCUGGCCUUGGGUCACAUUAAUACAUCAGGUCAUUUUCUGCAGCCUAAUCCAGUUAAUCAGCAGAACAGAGAAGAAGCCCCUUUUAGGGCAGAAAAAAACUAAACUCACUGAUCUCAAAUAAACAGAGGAGCAAGAAUGUAGUUAAAAAGAAGAGGGAAAGAAGGAAAAAAAAUAUGAAAAAAAGAGAAAAAGAAAAAAGGAAAUUACAAUGGAUAGUUUCUAAUUAGGUAAUGAACAAAGAACAAGUGAAAGAGAAGGACAACACCAGGCAAAAACUCAGAAACUCCCAUGAAUUGAACUCAGGCUUUGGAAGAACUCAAAACAUAACUUUUAAAACAAUUAAGAGAGAUUAAAAAAAUUGGGAAAGGAGCUUAAAAAUCAAAAUAGAUCAUUUGGAAAUAGAGGCACAUAAACUAAAACAACAAAAUAGUGUCUUUAAAGCCAGAAUUGAGCAGCUCAAAAAUGAGACAAAGAAAGUAAAAGAUUAAAACAAUGACCUACAUAGAAAGUAGAGUUUUAAAUGGAAAAUUAUGCUACUGAUCUACUCUCAAUAUAUUAUAUACUCUGAAUUAUGAUAGAGAAUACAAAUAGUUUAUAGUCAAGCUAUAUGCUUCACAGAACAAAUAAUAUACAUUUACAAAGCAACCAAAUGAGUUUAGAAAUUAUAUCUCUGGCUGAGGAGGAGGAGGGUUACAUUAACUUUCUUUAUUCUAAGAUGACCAUUACUUUAUACAAUGUUCAACACCAAUACUUCAUUGUGACGUGGAAUUUCUGGUUUCCUUAAGUGUAUGCUAAUGGAACUGGAAAGUUCUAUUUACAAAUGUUCUAAAAAAAAAGACUGCAUCCAAUUUCUAAAAACUGACCUAAAUAAGUGUGGACUGAUUUAAUUCCAGUCGCCUCCCCAUUAAUCCUUUUUAUGUUUUUUUGAAACCUAUAAUCUAUACUAAAUAUUGAUUUUAAGUCAGAAGAGCACUAAGGGCUAGGCCAUUGGUGUUAAGUGACUUGCUCAGGAUCACAGAGCUAGGAAAUAUCUGAGUCAAUAUUUGAACCUAAGUGUUCCCUCUAAGUCUGGGACCCUAUCCACUGUGAUACCUAGCUUUCCCCUAAGUGAUGAAUUCUUUAGCCUCAGCACCUGAUAAACUAAAUACUAAAGACUCAUGUCCUCAAACAAAUGUGAUUACUUCUUGCUUCUUCAAAGACAGUAUCAGAGUGGCAGGAAAGGAGCAAGAACAUUCUGAGAGUCACCUAGUCUUUAGAUUAUCUCUAAAUAUUUCCUAAAUAAUUGAUGCAAUUUUAAUAUUGAUAAUUAAUAUUUUGUCCAAUGACCAAUUUUUACAAAUAGUACUAGAAGAACUGAGUAACAGCUAUGAAUGAAACAAGAAGAUGAAAGGAAGUUAUGGAAGGAUGGCUCCUCUUAUAGGAAAAGCAAAUACAGGUAUCAAUGGAAUUUUAUUUUGUGUUCAAAGCAAUGUUCCAUGUAAUAUUUAGUCAUUUGGUAUUGCAGUGUUUAUGAUAAGUACUGGGAAAAAUGUCAUAUUAAAUAAAAUUGUGGUAUACAUGACAUCUGUUUCAGAUAAAGAAAUUUAACAAAUGAGUUUUGCUUUCUAGUUUCAAUCAAUAUACACUAAUAGGCACAGAAAUAAUGAGAUAAAGUUGUGUUAAUACAUAUACUGAUUAAAGAUAAAUAUAUACAUAUUUGUAUCAUGCCCUUAUGUGCACUUAUUUUCAUGUACAUAUAUGUUGUAAUAUAUUGUUCUAGAGUAAGAAGCAAAAAUAUUUGGUUCAUUAAAGAAAAAUGCUAUCUUAAAAGCUCUCUGUCUAUAAAGUGUUGUCCAUGUGAAUGUAAAAAUCAUACAAGUAUUUAAAGGAUGCAAAAAUAAAGAUUCCUUUGCUUAAUGAAUCUUUCAUAAGAACUAUCAAGGCAUUGCAUAAAAUAGGAAGAUGUAUGCUUGCCAAAAGUGUUUGCUACUAUCUUAGAGAGUGUCUAACAUGAAGUCCAAAUGGAAGAGGUCUCUCCUACAAGUGAUAAGUUCCAAUUUUUUUUCUUUUAGUGAUUUACAAACUAUAAGAACCCUUCAAAGAUUCUGCAAUGAAAUGAAAAAGAAUUUUUACAAAUUGCCCAUACAGGAAAAUGAAUGGUUGAAGAAUGCCUUUUCCAGGCAAUGAAUUUAGAUGGAAAACAUUAGAUAUGGUUAGUCUAUCAAUGGAUAAGAACGAGUGUUAGUUGAGUUAAUCAAAUCACCCCUAUUCCACUUUAACUGACAAAAUGCUACCCUUAUAUAUUUGUCAGGUGAAAACUAAUUCCAUUUGAAUCAAUGAUUAUUAUGAAUAAGGGAAGGGAUGUCUAUUUAAUUAUGGUAUUUCAGCAAGAUGUGUAAUUAAUUCUCUUUGGAUUCAUUGAGGGACUUGGCUAUCCUCUGCAGGGAUAGUGAAACCAAAAAAGGUAAUUUGGAAUUGAGCAUUUAGAAUAUCUGAAAUGUUAGUGGUAGAAGGUUCAAGUCAGUUCUGUGCUAAGGAGUCACUUAGGGGUUAGAGAAGAAUCCCAGAUCAGAUAUGGCCUCUCUGUCCCUCCCCACCUUUGGCAAUGAAAUUCAAAGGAUUAGAAGUUUUGGAUUUUUUCCAUUGGUAUCCUAACAAUGUAGCCAGUACAGCAGGCACUGAUGGCAGUGACUGCACCAGGAGCAGAGAAUACAUUUGUAUUGAUGAAUAGCAGAUUCAAGGAAAGCAGGCAGAAAAAUUAUACCAUAUCUAUAAGGGUUAAAUUAAGGAAUUUGACAAAGUGAGGAGAGCAGUUUAACAGAAACUUUGUUUAAUCUAAGAAGGAAAUACAGAUAUAAAUACAGAAAAGAGGAAAGAGAAAUUAUUAAUCUUAUACUCUAUAAAUAUACCUAAAAUUCCUAAUAACUACCUAAAAUUUCCUAAAACUAACUCUGUCUUCUCAGGACAGGUUCUUCUGCCUGGCACACUAGGCCUAAUCUACUCUAUCUAGAAAUUAUUCCCUAACUACCUAACUCCCUAAAAUAAUAGACAGCUCCCACCCACACACUCCUUCAAUCAGUUUUCUAUAGCAGCCCAACUAUCAGUAGCCAACUGUCAGCAUAUUCUUGCCUCUGAGACAGACCUGCUCCUUAGAGAUUCCAGAGGCAAGAGACCCCAACUGUCAGUGGCUGCUUCCUUUCCCCUGACUCACCAACUGUCCCCCCUAACUUCUUGUCGGAGGGUCUGCUACUUCCUCUCCUCAGACCUGUUCUCCCUGGUAACAGAUUCUUCAUUUCUGACUCACUCACUUGCUGAACCUGUCAGUUCUGAUCUACUUAGAAAUCCUGUUCUCUAGACUCUUAAGGAGACAGAGGGGGAGAUAAAGAAAAAUCUCUUUAAGAUAUCCAAGGGGAAUAUCUUGAGGAUCAUAGUGAAAAGAUUUUCAGGAUCACUAAGUUAAAACUCUAAGCUUGAGUUUUAUUCACCUUGAAGCAAAUUGUGUCACACAUUUUUCAAUCUUAGCAACAAUUAUGCAAUAUUUUUUCAUAGUUUUUAAAAAAUACUAAAGAGAGGACUUCUGGGUAAACAUGGCUUCAAUCUAGACACCACACACUUCCUCUCCCCGGCACCGAACGAAAUAGACUACAUCAAAGAAGCAUAAAAAUCACCUUUGGAGAAACAGAAGGACUCCCCAGUACUCCCAGUACUCCACAGAGGCAAAGGUACGUGGGGCUUGAACAUUUCCACACUAUAAUAAGAAGGAGGUAAAGCUUGCACAGAAACAUGAACUGAGCCGCCCUUCCCCCCACACACACCUCCCCCACCAAACCAGAGUGAGCUACCGGAACGCUCACUGGGACAGCGAGUGAGUGGGGAACGUCUCUGUCUGGGGAGGCACUCCAGGGACCUUGGGAUCUGGGGGCUGCCAGGAAACAACAUCUCAGGGCAGUUUCACAGGAGAAUCCUGCGCUGAGCACAUGGGCCGCAGAGCUGUACUCGGAGUGGUUGCGCUGAGUCUCUGAGCAUAGCUAAACACCAGGGGCGGACCACGUGCUGAUUACCUGGGUGGAGCUGAACACCUGGGCAGUUUGGCUAUGAUCAGGUCCCCAGCACUGUAAGAAACCUUGGAAGCUGGGAAGAACUAAUCUGAGGCAACCUAAAUUCACAGAAAACCCGCCCAUAUCACCCAGACCCCAGACCAAAAAGGAAAGGGGAAUAAAACCACCAAAGGGAUGGCUCACAUGGCCCAAAAUCAAGCCUCCAGGAAGAAAGGGAAAAAGGUGACUAUUGAAAAAUUGAAUGCCAGCAAAUCCACAAAUGACAAUCAUAACUUUGAACGUGAAUGGGAUGAACUCACCCAUAAAAUGUAGACAAAUAGCAAAUUGGAUUAGAACCCAAAACCCUACCAUCUGUUGUCUUCAAAAAACACUAUGAGGCGGGUCGAUACUCACAAGGUUAGAAUUAAAGGUUGGAGUAAGACCUUUUGGGCCUUAACUGAUAGAAAGAAGGCAGGAGUUGCAAUCAUGAUAUCUGACAAAGCCAAAGCACAAAUAGACCUGAUCAAAAGGGACAGGGAAGGUAAAUAUAUUCUGUUAAAAGGGAGUAUAGACAAUGAGGAAAUAUCAUUAAUCAACAUGUAUGCACCAAAUAGUAUAGUAUAAAAAUUUUUAAUAGAGAAACUAGGAGAAUUGAAGGAGGAAAUAGACAGUAAAACCAUAUUAGUGGGAUACUUGAACAAACAACUAUCAAAUUUAGAUAAAUCAAACCAAAAAAUAAACAAGAAAGAAGUAAAAGAGGAGAAUGAAAUUUUAGAAAAAUUAGAGUUAAUAGACAUAUGGAGAAAAAUUUAUUAAAAAUAAAUACGAACAAAAAGGAAUACACCUUUUCAGCACCACAUGGCACAUUCACAAAAAUAGAUCAUACACUAGGUCACAGAAACAUGGCACUCAAAUGCAGAAAAGCAGAAAUAAUAAAUGCAGCCUUUUCAGAUCACAAGGCAAUAAAAAUAUUGAUCGGUAAGGGUACAUGGAGAGCCAAAUCAAAAAUUAAUUGAAAAUUAAAUAAUAUGAUACUCCAAAAUCUGUUAGUUAGAGAAGAAGUCAUAGAAACAAUAAUUUCAUUGAGGAAAAUGACAAUGGUGAGACAUCCUUUCAAACUAUAUGGGAUGCAGCCAAGGCAGUACUUAGAGGAAAAUUCAUAUCUCUGAGUGCAUAUAUUAACAAAUUAGGGAGGACAAAGAUUAAGGAAUUGGAAAUGCAAUCAAAAAACUUGAGAACGAACAAAUUAAAAACCCCCAGAAGGAAAGCAAACUAGAGAUCCUAAAAAUUAAGAGAGAAAUUAAUAAAAUUGAAAGUGAUAGAACUAUUGAGCUAAUAAACAAGACUAGAAGCUGGUACCUUGAAAAAACAGACAAAAUAGACAAAAUACUGGUCAAUCUAAUUUAAAAAAGGAAAGAAGAAAGGCAAAUUAAUAGCAUCAAGGAUGAAAAGGGGAUUGGAGAAUCAAGAGGAAAUUAAGGCAAUCAUUAAAAACUACUUUGCCCAACUAUAUGGCAAUAAAUAUACCAACAUAGGUGAUAUGGAUGAAUAUUUACAAAAAUAUAAAUUGCCUAGACUAACAGAAGAAGAAAUAGAUUUCUUAAAUAAUCCCAUAGCAGAAAAAGAAAUCCAACAGGCCAUCAAAGAACUUCCUAAGAAAAAAUCCCCAGGGCCUGAUGGAUUCACCAGUGAAUUCUAUCAAACAUUCAAAGAACAGCUAACUCCAAUACUAUACAAACUAUUUGACAUGAUAAGCAAAGAGGGAGUUCUACCAAAUUCCUUUUAUGACACAAACAUGGUACUAAUUCCAAAGCCAGGCAGGCCAAAAACAGAGAAAGAAAAUUAUAGACCAAUCUCCCUAAUGAAUAUUGAUGCAAAAAUCUUAAAUAGGAUACUAGCAAAAAGACUCCAGCAAGUGAUCAUAAGAAUCAUUCACCAUGAUCAAGUAGGAUUCAUACCAGGGAUGCAGGGCUGGUUCAAUAUUAGGAAAACCAUCCACAUAAUUGACCACAUCAACAAGCAAACCAACAAAAAUCACAUAAUUAUUUCAAUAGAUGCAGAAAAAGUCUUUGAUAAAAUACAACACCCAUUCCUAUUAAAAACACUGGAAAGCAUAGGAAUAGAAGGGCCGUUCCUAAAAAUAAUAAACCGUAUAUAUCUAAAACCAUCAACUAAUAUCAUCUGCAAUGGGGAUGAACUAAAUUCAUUCCCAUUAAGAUCAGGAGUGAAAUAAGGAUGCCCAUUAUCACCUUUAUUAUUUGACAUUAUAUUAGAAACACUAGCAGUAGCAAUUAGAGAAUAAAAAGAAAUUGAAGGCAUUAAAAUAGGCAAGGAGGAGACCAAAUUAUCACUCUUUGUAGAUGAUAUAAUGGUCUACCUAAAGAAUGCUAGAGAUUCAACCAAAAAGCUAAUCAAAAUAAUCAACAACUUUAGCAAAGUUGCAGAUACAAAAUAAACCCACAUAAGUCAUCAGCAUUUCUAUAUAAUUCCAAAAGAGUUCAGCAGCAAGAACUAGAAAGAGAAAUCCCAUUUAAAAUUACCUUAGACAAAAUAAAAUACUUAGGAAUCUAUCUCCUGAGUCAAACACAGGAACUAUAUGAACACAACUACAAAACACUCUCCACACAACUAAAACUAGACUUGAACAAUUGGAAAAAUAUUAACUGCUCAUGGGUAGGACGAGCCAAUAUAAUUAAAAUGACCAUCAUACCCAAACUCAUCUAUCUAUUUAGUGCCAUACCCAUGGAACUUCCAAAAUUUUUUUUUUACUGAUUUAGAAAAAAAAACAUAACAAAGUUCAUUUGGAAGAACAAAGAAUCAAGGAUAUCCAGGGAAAUAAUGAAAAAAAAAUACAAAGGAAGGGGGCCUUGCAGUCCCCGAUCUCAGACUUUAUUAUAAAGCAGGGGUCACCAAAACAAUCUGGUACUGGCUAAGAGACAGAAAGGAGGAUCAGUGGAAUAGACUUGGGAUAAGUGACCUCAGCAAGACAGUAUAUGACAAACCCCAAAAUCCCAGCUUUUGGGACAAAAAUCCACUAUUUCAUAAAAACUGCUGGGAAAAUUAGAGGACAGUGUGGGAAAGAUUAGGUUUAGAUCAAUACCUCACACCCUACACCAAGAUAAAUUCAAAAUGGGUGAAUGACUUGAACAUAAAGAAGGAAACUAUAAGAAAAUUAGGCAAACACAGAAUAGUACACGUCAGACCUUUAGGAAGGGAAAGACUUCAAAACCAAGCAAGACUUAGAAAGAGUUACAAAAUGCAAAAUAAAUAAUCUGGAAUACAUCAAAUUAAAAAGUUUUUGUACAAACAAAACCAAUGUAACUAAAAUCAGAAGGGAAGCAACAAAUUGGGAAACAAUCUUCAUAAAAACCUCUGACAAAGGUUUAAUUACUCAAAUUUACAAGGAACUAAAUCAAUUGUACAAAAAAUCAAGCCAUUCUCCAAUUGAUAAAUGGGCAAGGGACAUGAACAGGCAGUUCUCAGUCAAAGAAAUCGAAACUAUUAAUAAGCACAUGAAAAAGUCCUCUACAUCUCUUAUAAUCAGAGAGAUGCAAAUCAAAACAACUCUGAGGUAUCACCUCACACCUAGCAGAUUGGCUAACAUGACAGCUAUGGAAAGUAAUGAAUGCUGGAGGGGAUGUGGCAAAGUAGGGACACUAAUUCAUUGCUGGUGGAGUUGUGAAUUGAUCCAACCAUUCUGGAGGGCAAUUUGGAACUAUGCCCAAAGGGUGAUAAAAGAUGUCUGCCCUUUGAUCUAGCCAUAGCACUGCUGGGUUUGUACCCCAAAGAGAUAAUGGAGAAAAAGACAUGUACAAGAAUAUUCAUAGCUGCACUCUUUGUGGUGGCCAAAAAUUGGAAAACGAGGAGAUGCUCAUCAAUUGGGGAAUGGCUGAACAAAUUGUGGUAUAUGUUGGUGAUGGAAUACUAUUGUGCUAAAAGGAAUAAUAAAGUAGAGGAAUUCCAUGGAGACUGGAAUAACCUCCAAGAAGUGAUGCAGAGCGAAAGGAGCAGAACCAGGAAAUCAUUAUACACAGAGACUGAUACACUGUGGUACAAUCGAAGGUAAUGGACUUCUCCAUUAGGGACAAUGCAAUGUCCCUGAACAAUCUGCAGGGAUCUAAAAAACACUAUCCACAAGCAGAGGAUAAACCAUGGGAGUAAAAACAACAAGGAAAAGCAACUGCCUGACUACAGGGGUGGAGGUGAUAGGACUGAGGAGAGACUCUAAAUGAACACUCUAAUGCCAAUACCAACAACAUGGAAAUGGGUUAGAAACACAUGUGAUAACCAGUGGAAUCGU